CUCACAAGGGACACACCUGGGCUGCCAUAUCGAUAACGUCACUGCGCUGCCGCUGACCGUGACAGUGACCGGGAGCAGCAGCACAACUGCUGUGCCCUGCAGUGAUGUACCUCUGGACCUAAAGUUAAUUGAGGUCCUGACCCCGCCCACCACGAAGGCUGAGUGCAAUGGAACAGCCGCAGCAAACCUGCACUGGCACGUGAACAGCCUUUUCACCCGUAGAUUCUUAUAUGACCUGCAGAUCAACAAGAGCAAUUUGAAGACUGAGGAGUCUAAUGUAAGUCAGGACUGAGCACCUGGCAAAGCAGAGCAUUAUGGGAGCUUUGGGUGGAGUAGGACAUGGGAAAGC